AUAUAUCAUUUUCUCUUAUUUUCAUAUCUCCCUCAAUGUAUAAACAAAUUGCGGGAAACUUGUUGUUCGUAAUAAUAACUGUCCGUUGUUAUUGAUUACACGGACUUAAAAAUAACUUUGCUUUCGUUUUCGUAUACAAUUACAUAUGUGCGGAAUUGUUGCUGCAAUUUACAGUUAAUACUAUAUAUUCAUACCGAUAGUUUAUAAACAUAAAUUCACGAAAACGUAAAAAGUGUUGUGAUAUAAAACAUUGUUUUUUUAAAUUUGAACAAUUUUAAGUGGUGACUAUAUAUAUUUAUUAUAAAACAGAUCAUUUGACAUACAUACGGUGAAGCGUCAUUUGAUUUGAAUAUUCGAUUGUACUAGACUAUAAACUAAAAUAAUUUGCAAAUGGAAGUUAAUCUUGACAAAAAACAAACCGAAAUGUGCGCUGACUGUAAACUUGCAUUUUCAGAUAUUGGAUCCCAAAAAGGUUUCUUUUUUUUAAUGAAAUUUCAAUUUAUUUGGUUUAAUACAUUUUUGUAUUUUUGGUAAAAUAAAACAAAUAUGGAAGAUUUGAAUUUGACCCUAUUCAAAGAUUACUGCAACAAGGGAAAGCUUGUAUUGCUAACAUUGUUCAUCUUUAUUGUUGAUGCAAUCAUGGUAUUGACAUUACCGUUUAAUAGUGAUGACUGGUCCAGAGUUACAGUUGGGGACAGAUUAAUUAUAGUCCUGAUCAUAAUGUUUACUGUGUGUAUCCUGGUAGUAGACAUUUAUGCAGCAGCAAAAGUUCUACAUUCACGGAAAUUGGACGAUGUUCCGUUAUGUGCUAUAUGUAGCACAACAGUGGAACGGUUUGACGAUUGGAAAUGGACCAAAAAGUGGAGACAUUUUAUUCUCAGAGAUCAUCGUGACAUGAAAGGAGUGAUCAGCACUGUUUGAAGAAGCGUUUACAACUGGCUAUGAACAUUCAAUUUUGAAAAGUGCAAGGAAAGCAGAUGAAGAUUUAUCUUUUAACAACUAGAAUGACAGCAAAGUUUUUGAUAUAUCAUUUACUUACAUCUUUAUAAUAUAUUUGUUUUUAAUUUUUUUUAACCUAAUCAAUGUUGAUAAUGGCUAAUAAUAUUAAUUCAUGAAAACUAUUUAUCAUUAGUGAGGUAAUUUUAACAAAAAUCAUAGACACACAUAAAAAUUUAUAAUAGAUAUUUGUACUUAUAGCAGCUAUGUGCUCAGACUUGGAAAUAUCUCUAAGUGAAUUUCCGUAAAAUUUUUAAAAUAAAGAAUGAUACAGAAGUUUUUAAUGGCUGUGUUUUUUUUAAAGACAGAAAAUUUCAAAUAAGUUUUUGUUAUCACUAAUUUUGAAAUCAAAAAGAUGCAUUUUCCUUAUGCAGACAUUAUCAUACUUUUAAAUAAAUCCUUAAUCAAUUUUAAAAUUACAUCUAACAUUUUGUUUUUUCCCUUGCUUAUUCCAUAAUUGUUUGCUUUCUUUUAAGGUUUGCCUAGAUACUGUUCUUUUUAUUUCUCAGAAACGAAAUGAAAGGGUCUAACUUUUUAAAGAAGUGUUUGUAAUGCUUUUUUAGUAUGGCUAUUUUUUAAGAAAUAUAACCAAUUUUUUUUUUUUAAAUUUUACACCUAGAAUAUUCAUAGCAUAAUGUUGUGUUUAACCAAUAUUGAAGACAUCGUGAACAACCCAAAAGGGAGUAAUACAAUAUUCCCACGACCGAGGCUCUACUGUAUUAUCACAUUUAUAGAAGUAUAUUCUUUGAUAAAUAGCAUAUAUUUUGUGUAGCUAUACCAGUCAUAAUCAUUUUUUUUCGAUUAAAGUACAUCGAUUUCUUUGUACAGCGAUGCCAGUUUUGUCUUCCGACAAUUUUGAUUAGAGUUCCACUGAUAGGUCUUAUGAAGACGAUCACGCCUUGUGUAUACUAAGUUAAAGGGCUGAUUUCUGUGGAGAACACAUUUCUAGCCAUUUUUUUCAAACGUCCUCAAAAGAUAUUGUAUGUGUGUAGCUUUUAACUGCAAUUCCGUUCAAUUUUAUGUUAGUAUAAAAGUAAACAACAUAAUGACAUUAUAAUAUCCUGCAUUUAUUAUGUUAUAUCGAAGUCUUUAAAAAUAUAGGGUUAGAUACUGAGAACAAUUAAAAACUGAUUAAGCAAGAAAAACCAUUUGCAACAUCAGUCUUAUACGUGAUACAUGAUAACAAGAAUCACAUUUUAAUAUGAAUUAAAACAUGGACCUUACAUUUGAAAAAAUCUGCAAAUUCUACCGGAAUGUAAGUCCUGGUCGCUCACUCUUUUUUUUCUUUCAUUGGAUUAUGUUAUUUUCUUUUUUUUUCAAAUGUUUUUAUAUUUCUUUGACUUCUUAAUUAUAACAAUGGUGAUGUAAUGGUGAUGAAUUUAUCAUUUGAUUGUCAAUGCUCCUGAUGAAAUUACACACAGAAAAACACUUAAUAGUUAUUAAUAAUCUGAUUCUUAAAAAAGCACACUUGGCGGUGUAAUUGGUUGUUGGAGAACAUGAAAAGAUUCAUGCAAGCUUUUUGAACAGUGUCCCUUCCUAAUAUUUCAGACAAUAUUCAAUUUAUCAUAUACACAUUUUUUUUACCAUGGCUAGCUAAAGUAAAGUCAGUUUGUAAAGCUUGAUUAUCUAUAUAUGUAUACCUGUAUAAAAAGGAAAUGAAAAUUAUGAGAUGCAAUUAUUUAAAAUUUAA